rnacentral:rRNA from 3 species
ACCUGAAAUCAAGCAAGAUCACCCGCUGAACUUAAGCAUAUCAGUAAGCGGAGGAAAAGAAACUAACAAGGAUUGCCUUAGUAGUGGCGAAUGAACCGGCAAUAGCUCAAAGUGUAAAUCUGAGGCAUCAAGUCUUAGAAUUGUAAUCUAUAGGCCUUUUAGGGAAGCCACGGUCCUAGCAUAAGUUCCUUGAAAAGGGAUGCCAAAGAGGGUAAAAGCCCCGUAUUUGGUUAGGACUGGGUGUACCGAAGGGUUCCAAGAGUCGGGUUGUUUGGGAUUGCAGCCUAAAAUGGGAGAUAAACUUCUUCUAAAGCUAAAUAUUUAUGGGAAACCGAUAGCAAACAAGUACUACGAAGGAAAGAUGAAAAGAACUUUGAAAAGAGGGUUAAAAGACUUGAAAUCGUUGAGGAGAAAAGCGGUAGAAGAGAAAUGAUUUCAUUUAGAAGUAUGUAGUUAUGUAGGUGUCUUCUGCGGUAAUGGUACUUCAUAGGGCCUAGCUGUAGACCGGCGUCGCAUUGCUGCUUUUUCUGGAUGAAGUGCAAAAUGAGGUCUCGCUUGCGGAAACGUCUCUAGGGAAGACUCUGGCCUUGACGCUGGAAGCCCUGGUCUCCAA